rnacentral:sRNA from 1 species
GGAAGGAUCAUUACAGAGUUCAUGCCCUAACGGGUAGACCUCCCACCCCUGUGUUCUUUAUUACUAUGUUGCUUUGGCGACCCGCCGCAAGGCUCCUGGCUCUGGCUGGGGCGCGGUCGCCAGAGGACCCCUUAAAUUCUGAAUGUUUAGUGUCGUCUGAGUACUAUAUAAUAGUUAAAACUUUCAACAACGGAUCUCUUGGUUCUGGCAUCGAUGAAGAACGCAGCGAAAUGCGAUAAGUAAUGUGAAUUGCAGAAUUCAGUGAAUCAUCGAAUCUUUGAACGCACAUUGCGCCCCUUGGUAUUCCGGGGGGCAUGCCUGUUCGAGCGUCAUUUCAACCCUCAAGCUCUGCUUGGUCUUGGGCCCUGCCGGCAACGGUAGGCCUUAAAAUUAGUGGCGGCGCCCUGAGGCCCUGAACGUAGUAUUUUCUUCUCGUUACAGGCCCCUCCGGGUGACUUGCCAACUAACCCCAAUUUUUUUCUAUGGUUGACCUCGGAUCAGGUAGGGAUACCCGCUGAACUUAAGCAU